CUGGUGUUCUCAAUAAUUUGAUUUCUGCAUAUCCUUCUAGCAUCGCCACACUGACCCACCACACCAUCAGUAUCCAUCCUACUCUAUCAUCAUGACAAUGAUCCUUAAUGACAUUGCUAUCUUUUAUUGGGAGCCCACAACAUAUCUGAUUCUGUGUAACAAUUUUUCACAAAUUCUCAGAAGCCUUCUGUAAGACAUUUUUAUACUGAGAUUCAGAAAGUUAAGGAACCUGCCUGGGAUCACAUAGCUGAUCACACAAGUGACAGAGCUGAGCCCCAAACCCAGGUCCACCUGACUCCCAAACUCUUUCCACUCUGCCACGUGGACAUUCUGAAACACCGGCAGUUCUCUGAAGGGGCCAUGCUCUUCCUACACUACCAUCGUCUUUGCAAUUUCUCUUCCUUCUGUCUUUAAUACACUUCCCUUUCUGUGAUGGCAGGCUGACUGCUACCCAUCCCCUAAGAUUCGGCUCAAAUUCCACGUUGGGGUGAAACUCUGAGGAAAUGCAGUUAGAGAGAUGGAGGAAGAAGUAGAACCAGACCGGGAGGCCGGAACCUGCAUGAGUCCCUGCCCGCCCCUCAGCGAAGCCACAUUGUCUAUAAAACAGGGAUGAUAACCCACACCCUGCUGACCACCUGGAGUUUCAGGGAGGAUCAAAUGGGAUUUUAUAUUUGAAGCUACUUUGCAAACUAUCAAGCCCCGGAUAAACGCCUCCACUCUGGAACUUACCAUCCCAGUUCCAACUCUUACAAGCUGUUUCUUUCAGAUUUUACUUAAAACAUCGUUAUGCUUCAGUCGCCUCAUCCAUUAAAUGAGGAUAGCAGCAGCAUGGCCCACAAAGGACUGUUUUGAGAAUUAAAUAAGAUAUAUAAGACUUUUAGGGCAGGAUUGGACACAUAGCACUCAAUGUUUAUUAUUAACAUUUGUAUUAUUAUUGUAAGUAUUUGUCUCUGUAUCUAUCGUUCUGCCAGACCGUGAGCACCUUCUUUUGGUGUCCCUACCGCCUAUGCUUGCCACAUUAUAACUACUCCUUUCAUUGUUGUUCUUAAAAUGGAAAUGGAUGGAGAUACUCUUAAGGAAACUCUGUGGACAAGAGUACAGGUAGUGAGUGGAAAAAUCAUUGGCCAUGACAUCAGAUUUGGUUUAAAUCUCAGCUCUGCUAAAUGCUUAGACAUUGGCUUCGUGCAAGUCAUUUCCCCUCCCUGGGACUCAGUUUCCUCAUCUAGAAAACGGAACCAAUAUCUCCCCAGCCCACUUCCUC
rnacentral:lncRNA from 1 species